rnacentral:rRNA from 1 species
CCUACGGGAGGCAGCAGUGAGGAAUAUUGGUCAAUGGACGAGAGUCUGAACCAGCCAAGUAGCGUGAAGGAUGACUGCCCUAUGGGUUGUAAACUUCUUUUAUAAAGGAAUAAAACGAGGCACGUGUGCCUUUUUGCAUGUACUUUAUGAAUAAGGAUCGGCUAACUCCGUGCCAGCAGCCGCGGUAAUACGGAGGAUCCGAGCGUUAUCCGGAUUUAUUGGGGUUAAAGGGAGCGUAGAUGGGUUGUUAAGUCAGUUGUGAAAGUUUGCGGCUCAACCGUAAAAUUGCAAUUGAUACUGGCAGUCGUGAGUACAGUUGAGGUAGGCGGAAUUCGUGGUGUAGCGGUGAAAUGCUUAGAUAUCACGAAGAACCCCGAUUGCGAAGGCAGCUUACUAAACUGUGACUGACAUUGAUGCUCGAAAGUGUGGGUAUCAAACAGGAUUAGAUACCCGGGUAGUC